ACGGCCCCAACUUCCUACCGGGAGGCAGGCAGUAAGGAUCCUCACAUGACGGAGUCUGAUGAGCAUCGCGCGUGAGUGAGAGGGUUUCGGCUCCGUAAAACUCUGUGUUAAAGAAGAACAUAUCUGAGAGUAACUGUUCAGGUAUGACGGUAUUAAACCAGAAAGCACGGCUAACUACGUGCCAGCAGCCGCGGUAAUACGUAGGUGGCAGCGUUGUCCGGAUUUAUUGGGCGUAAAGCGAGCGCAGGCGGUUUUUUAAGUCUGAUGUGAAAGCUUUCGGCUCAACCGAAGAAGUGCAUCGGAAACUGGGAAACUUGAGUGCAGAAGAGGACAGUGGAACUCCAUGUGUAGCGGUGAAAUGCGUAGAUAUAUGGAAGAACACCAGUGGCGAAGGCGGCUGUCUGGUCUGUAACUGACGCUGAGGCUCGAAAGUAUGGGUAGCAAACAGGAUUAGAUACCCUGGUAGUCCAUACCGUAAACGAUGAAUGCUAAGUGUUGGAGGGUUUCCGCCCUUCAGUGCUGCAGCUAACGCAUUAAGCAUUCCGCCUGGGGAGUACGGCCGCAAGGCUGAAACUCAAAGGAAUUGACGGGGGCCCGCACAAGCGGUGGAGCAUGUGGUUUAAUUCGAAGCUACGCGAAGAACCUUACCAGGUCUUGACAUACUAUGCAAAUCUAAGAGAUUAGACGUUCCCUUCGGGGACAUGGAUACAGGUGGUGCAUGGUUGUCGUCAGCUCGUGUCGUGAGAUGUUGGGUUAAGUCCCGCAACGAGCGCAACCCUUAUUAUCAGUUGCCAGCAUUAAGUUGGGCACUCUGGUGAGACUGCCGGUGACAAACCGGAGGAAGGUGGGGAUGACGUCAAAUCAUCAUGCCCCUUAUGACCUGGGCUACACACGUGCUACAAUGGAUGGUACAACGAGUUGCGAACUCGCGAGAGUAAGCUAAUCUCUUAAAGCCAUUCUCAGUUCGGAUUGUAGGCUGCAACUCGCCUACAUGAAGUCGGAAUCGCUAGUAAUCGCGGAUCAGCAUGCCGCGGUGAAUACGUUCCCGGGCCUUGUACACACCGCCCGUCACACCAUGAGAGUUUGUAACACCCAAAGUCGGUGGGGUAACCUUUUAGGAACCAGCCGCCUAAGGUGGGACAGAUGAUUAGGGUGAAGUCCGAACAAAGGGA
rnacentral:rRNA from 1 species